CCUGGUAUCUAAUCCAGCCGAGACGGUAGCGUCUAGUCCACCAGGUAGCCAAAAAUCAUGACCGUGGUAGCCUCAAUGUACAUGGUAGCCGUGCUGGGUCUUCUAGCUGUGGCUAGCCUUGCUCAAGACCCCCGAGAACACAGCACACGAGCUGAACACGUCACACACGAGACACACAGCACACCAACACCGGAAGAGACCCAGACAGAGACACCGGAAGAGACCCAGACAGAGACGAGUUGUGACACCGACGACCCAGACAAUUCGCCUCGGGGGGAGACUGGUGGGCCCACCACGCGGGGGGAGACGGGUGGGCCCACCACGGUCCGCGGCAAACACCCAGCCCAGGACACCCGUCUAAUAGGGGAGGAUCGAGGCGAACCCGAGUACACACCUAAAGACGAGCCCGAGUACGUGAUCAAGGCCCGUCAACAAGACGUCCACAACACGUUCGCGGCCAUCGUCGGGAUUCUGGUACCACAGGUGGUCGUCUUCUGUACGCUUGUCUACUACAGGUGUAGGUAGAGGACCAGGACCUCUCACACAGGACCUCUGUCACACAGGACCUCUGUCACAGGACCUCUUUCACUCAGGAUUUCUGUCACUCAGGAUUUCUGUCACUCAGGAUUUCUGUCAACUGACAUGUAGCUAUUUGUGGGUGCUCCUCACGUGCAAGCUGACGUCACAUGCUUCAUGCAGACGUCAUCUAGGUCCCCUCCCCCUAACUUUGUUUUCAAAAGACGGACAAAAAAAUCUGGCAAACUAUGGCGGAAAUGACGUGGAGCCGCAGAAUGUUUAGAUGCCUGCCCGUUGCACUGUCACUGACGUCACUAUGCCUGUGUGUAAUCGUCUUCGUGUGGAUCGUCCACCUGAGAUCUGACCAGUCGCCCCAG